GGCUGCGGUACGGAAGCAGGGCCCCAGGACUUCUCCAGACAGGUUAUGUUACCUGCAGAGGCUGCCCUGAAGCUCCCUGUGGCCUGGAGACUAUGUACAAGAGGAAUGGUCUGAUGGCUAGCGUGUUGGUCACCUCUGCCACUCCACAGGGCAGCAGCAGCUCGGACUCUCUGGAGGGCCAGAGCUGCGACUAUGCCAGCAAGAGCUAUGAUGCCGUUGUCUUCGAUGUCUUGAAAGUGACCCCAGAGGAGUUUGCUAGCCAGAUUACAUUAAUGGAUAUACCUGUGUUUAAAGCUAUCCAGCCGGAGGUCUGUACUUUGUCUUUCUACUCUUCUAUUCAUGCUGUGGGUGGGCAGCGAGGAUUUAGCCAGCCACUGUUAGAGUGACUCCGUUUCUCAGUUUCUCUCUUGCAGGCUCUAUAAAUGCAUGUUAUCCAUUUAAACCCCAUUCUAUUCUUGAUGGUGCUCAUGUUUUUGAGCCCAGUAUUUGGAUUUUCCAGAGAAUGUCUCCCGUCUGGCCUACUCUGGCAGGGCUGGGAGCAGUUGGUACCCACAGGACUCCACGCCUGAGAGUCAGGUCUUAACACCCUCAUUCCUUUUCCCAGGCUCCUCCUGCUGAAAAUGUUUGCUUUCAAGAAGUGAUGUGAGGGAACAUUUUUCUGGAAAGUUCUCUUUUUGUUCAUCCCAAAUUCUGGUGGUUGCCUUGUUUCUAUUUUUGAAACCAGUUGCCGUAGCAAACAUGUACAUAUUUACAUUGAAAGCAUAUCUGGGUCAGGUGUGGUGGCUCACACCUGUAAUCCCAGCACUUUGGGAGGCCUAGGUGGGAGGAUCGCUUGAGAUCAGGGGUUUGAGACCAGCCUGAGCAAAAUAGUGAGUGU
rnacentral:sRNA from 1 species